GCCGGGCACGGUGGCUCAUGCCUGUAAUCCCAGCACUUUGGGAGGCUGAGGUGGGUGGAUCACCUGAGGUCAGGAGUUCGAGACCAGCCUGACCAACAUGGUGAAACCCUGUCUCUA
rnacentral:SRP_RNA from 1 species